GAUGAACGCUGGCGGCGUGCCUAAUACAUGCAAGUCGAACGCCGGCGCAGGAGCUUGCUCUUUCUGGAUGAGUUGCGAAGGGGUGAGUAACGCGUAGGUAACCUGCCUGGUAGCGGGGGAGAACUAUUGGAAACGAUAGCUAACACCGCAUAACAGUAGAUAUUGCGUGAUAUUUGCUUGAAAGGGGCACUUGCUCGACUACCAGAUGCACCUGCGUUGUAUUAGCUUGUUGGUGCGGUGACGGCCCACCAAGGCGACGGAACAUAGCCGACCUGCGAGGGAGGACGGCCACACUGGGAAUGGGACACCGCCCAGGCUCCUUCGGGGAGCAGCAAGAGGGGAACUUCGGCAAAGGGCGGAAAGCUGGCCGAACAACGCCGCGGUGGGGGAGGAAGGUUUCGGAUCGGAAAGCUCCGUUGUAAGGGAAGAACGAGUGUGAGAGUAGAAAGUUCACGCUGUGACGGUAUCUGACCAAAAAGCAACGGCUAACUACGUG
rnacentral:rRNA from 1 species